GACGAACGCUGGCGGCGUGCUUAACACAUGCAAGUCGAGCGAGCGGCGGACGGGUGAGUAAUGUCUGGGAAACUGCCUGCUGGAGGGGGAUCACUACUGGAAACGGUUGCUAAUACCGCAUACCAUCAGCUGUGCCCAGAUGGGAUUAGCCAGGAGGUGGGGUAAGGGCUCACCUAGGCGACGAUCCCUAGCUGGUCUGAGAGGAUGACCAGCCACACUGUAACUGAGACACGGUCCAGACGCCUACGGGAGGCAGCAGGGGGGAAGAUUGCACAAGGGGCGCAAGCCUGAUGCAGCCAUGCCGCGUGUGUGAAGAAGGCCGUCGGGUUGUAAAGCACUGUCAGCGAGGAGGCGUUACUCGCAGAAGAAGCACCGGCUAACUCCGUGCCAGCAGCCGCGGUAAUAC
rnacentral:rRNA from 1 species